rnacentral:rRNA from 1 species
AUACACGGCCAUAUCAGGUUGAAAGCGCCGGUUCUCGUCCGGUCACCUAAGUUAAGCAACAUCGAGCCUAGUUAGUACUUCGAUGGGUGAUCGCUUGGGAAGCCUAGGGGCUGUAAGCA